rnacentral:rRNA from 1 species
GAUGAACGCUAGCGGCAGGCUUAAUACAUGCAAGUCGAGGGGCAGCGCGGGUAGCAAUACCUGGCGGCGACCGGCAAACGGGUGCGGAACACGUACGCAACCUUCCCAUAACUGGUGAAUAGCCCUCCGAAAGGAGGAUUAAUACACCGUAACAUAACGAAGAGGCACCUUUUUGUUAUUAUAGUAGCAAUACGGUUUUGGAUGGGCGUUCGCCUGAUUAGGUAGUUGGCGGGGUAACGGCCCACCAAGCCUGCGAUCAGUAACUGGUGGGAGAGAACGACCAGUCACACGUGCACUGGGACACGGGCCCGACUCCGACGGGAGGCAGCAGUAAGGAAUAUUGGGCAAUGGACGAAAGUCUGAACCAGCCAUGCCGCGUGAAGGAUUAAGGCCCUCUGGGUUGUAAACUUCUUUUAUCUGGGACGAAAAAAGGGCAUUCUUGCGCACUUGACGGUACCAGAGGAAUAUGCACCGGCUAACUCCGUGCCAGCCGCCGCGGUAA